rnacentral:rRNA from 1 species
GCCUUACGGGACGCAGCAGUGAGGAAUAUUGGUCAAUGGGCGGGAGCCUGAACCAGCCAAGCCGCGUGAAGGAAGAAGGCGCCAAGCGUCGUAAACUUCUUUUGUCGGGGAACAAAGGGCGCCACGUGUGGCGUUGUGAGUGUACCCGAAGAAAAAGCAUCGGCUAACUCCGUGCCAGCAGCCGCGGUAAUACGGAGGAUCCGAGCGUUAUCCGGAUUUAUUGGGUUUAAAGGGAGCGUAGGCGGAUUAUUAAGUCAGUUGUGAAAGUUUGCGGCUCAACCGUAAAAUUGCAGUUGAUACUGGUA